rnacentral:lncRNA from 1 species
GUGAUAUGUGUGUCUAGAUUUUAUUAGGUCAGCAAAUGUUUAUGUUAAAUGCUAUUGAGAAACAAUUGUAUUCAUUUAUUUCUCCUUAAAUUCUAAUGUUGGACAUUUUUGCUUGAUUUCAAAUUACUAUAACUUUGCAUGUGAAGGGGAGGUAACUCAGAAAAUGUAUGUUUUUUAAAGCUAUCUUAAGGGCAUACGAUACAAUUUUU